GACGAAUUUGCUCUGAACAUUAGAUAUAGAUGAAGCAUAUGUUCAGAGC
rfam:Enterococcus sp. 6C8_DIV0013 scaffold00001, whole genome shotgun sequence.